AUUGAACGCUGGCGGAAUGCUUUACACAUGCAAGUCGAGCGGCAGCGCGGGGCAACCUGGCGGCGAGCGGCGAACGGGUGAGUAAUACAUCGGAACGUACCCAGUUGUGGGGGAUAGCCCGGCGAAAGCCGGAUUAAUACCGCAUACGACCUGAGGGUGAAAAGGGGGGGAGUCGCAAGACCUCUCGCAGUUGGAGCGGCCGAUGGCGGAUUAGCUAGUUGGUAGGGUAAAGGCCUACCAAGGCGACGAUCCGUAGCUGGUCUGAGAGGACGACCAGCCACACUGGAACUGAGACACGGUCCAGACUCCUACGGGAGACAGCAGUGGGGAAUUUUGGACAAAUGGGGGCGAACCCUGAUCCAGCCAUUCCGCGUGAGUGAAGAAGGCC
rnacentral:rRNA from 1 species